rnacentral:rRNA from 1 species
GACGUAGGAGGCGAGCGUUGUCCGGAUUCAUUGGGCGUAAAGAGCGCGCAGGCGGCUUGGUAAGUCGGAUGUGAAAUCCCGAGGCUCAACCUCGGGUCUGCAUCCGAUACUGCCCGGCUAGAGGUAGGUAGGGGAGAUCGGAAUUCCUGGUGUAGCGGUGAAAUGCGCAGAUAUCGGGAAGAACACCCGUGGCUAAGGCGGCUCUCUAGUACGGUACUGACGCUGAGACGCGAAAAGCGUGGGGAGCGAACAGG